rnacentral:rRNA from 1 species
GUUCCUGGCUCAGGACGAACGCUGGCGGCGUGCUUAACACAUGCAAGUCGAACGAGAGGAGAAGGAAGCUUGCUUCUUUCGAAUCUAGUGGCAAACGGGUGAGUAACACGUAAACAACCUGCCUUCAGGAUGGGGACAACAGACGGAAACGACUGCUAAUACCGAAUACGUUCCUUAGGUCGCAUGACCCAAGGAAGAAAGGGUGGCCUCUACUUGUAAGCUAUCGCCUGAAGAGGGGUUUGCGUCUGAUUAGGUAG